AAGUGCCAGUGAAGAUGCUGGCUACCCGCGCCAGGACGGAAAGACCCCAUGGAGCUUUACUCCAGUUUGGCACUGGGGUCCGGUGUUGCAUGUACAGGAUAGGUGGGAGGCUGAGAAACGGUAACGUCAGUUGCCGCGGAGCCGCUGUUGGGAUACCACCCUUGUGAUAUUGGGCUUCUAACCAGCCGCCGUAAUCCGGCGGUGGGACAAUGCCAGGCGGGGAGUUUGACUGGGGCGGUCGCCUCCGAAAGGGUAUCGGAGGCGCCCAAAGGUUCCCUCAGAAUGGACGGAAACCAUUCGAAGAGUGCAAAGGCAGAAGGGAGCUUGACUGCGACACCGACGGGUGGAGCAGGUACGAAAGUAGGGCUUAGUGAUCCGGUGGUAUUAAGUGGGAAUGCCAUCGCUCAACGGAUAAAAGCUACCCUGGGGAUAACAGGCUUAUCACUCCCAAGAGUUCACAUCGACGGAGUGGUUUGGCACCUCGAUGUCGGCUCAUCGCAUCCUGGGGCUGUAGUAGGUCCCAAGGGUUGGGCUGUUCGCCCAUUAAAGCGGUACGCGAGCUGGGUUCAGAACGUCGUGAGACAGUUCGGUCCCUAUCCGGCGUGGGCGCAGGAUAUCUGAGAGGAGCUGUCCUUAGUACGAGAGGACCGGGAUGGACGGACCGCUGGUGGACCGGUUGGCUUGCCAAAGCCAUGGCCGGGUAGCCAAGUCCGGAAGGGAUAAACGCUGAAGGCAUCUAAGCGUGAAGCCCCCCUCAAGAUGAGAUAUCCCAUUCUUAGUGAAGUAAACCCCCUUGAAGACGACGAGGUAGAUAGGGCAGAGGUGGAAGUGUGGUAACACAUGGAGCUGACUGUUACUAAUCGGGUGA
rnacentral:ncRNA from 1 species